rnacentral:misc_RNA from 1 species
UCCUUUUUUUUUUCCUUCUUCCGAAGUAGUAUCUUCUGGGAAGCGGCCUUGUGAGCUGCGCAUUUGCAGCCUCCUCUUCCUCCUCCUCCCUCUCCAACGUCUUGCUUCACGCGCACGCACGAACGCACGCACGCACAAGCGGAAAAGCGCACAUGCGCAUGCGAAGCUAAGCGGGAAGAAACCAUAAUACAGAGUGAGACGACAACGCUAGGAUAGGCGAGGCGCCGAAGUACUUCGAUACGGCAGCAACGCAGGCAUCCACACUUUGAGCUAUACACACGCAGAGGCUGCAGGAGCGUAUGAGCGUGGCCGCUCAUCCGUGCCACGUACGUCUCCUCUCCCUUUUCCCGUUUUCUUGCCUUGUACUUUUCUUCUCUCAUGUUGUACCUCGCCACUGCACCCCGGCCACCUAGUUCCCUCACCUCGAUCUUUGUUGCUCCCCACCUCUCUUCUUGGCCGAGCUUCCGACAUCGUUGACUUGGUAGUCUCCGAAGCACUGGCCAGCGCCUUCAACUCUCCCCCUUCAGCGAGUUGUUUUUCCUGUGUGCCCCAUAUAUAUCUGCCCCCCUUGUUACUUUUCUUCUGACCUUCUCGUGCUACGAAGCCACAAAACAGAGGUAAAGCCAUCUGUGUCUGUGUCUGCUUGUGCGUGUCUGCUCCCUUUUGUUAUUCGAUUUUGUCUACUCCCCUCGUGCCCAUCUUGAAGGCCACCGUAGAGAGGAGCUCACACAAGCUAGCGUCGCCGCUUUUCGCUUUCCAGCAACGCCCGCCUUCUUGGGGCCACUUCAUCAAAAGCGAAAAUACAUCCUUCUACACACAAACACACACGCGCAUCAAAGUACCGCCUCCGACCUCGUUUGCCCCACUCUCUGUCUCUCGUGUUUUCGCGAGUGACGGCGUCACCUCGCCCUCUAUCCUUCACUCCACUGAUCGAGGGAGGUUUUCACGCACGUGCUAAGCACGACACCGCGCCAGUAAGGUCAGGACUAGCAGAAACGAGGGGGGGGGUGAAAGGGAAGGAAGAAAGGGGGGACGCCAUGUCAUCGCCAGGCGCGUUGCAGCCGUGGCAUGUGCGCUCCGAGAAGCUAUCAAGAAUCCCGAUGAUCCCGGUACUGGCCAUCAAGCACCCGGAGGAGCCUUAUUCUACAUCGCAAGCGACCGUAAACUCAACGACCACGUUUUCGCCCUCGUUCGCAUCUGCUCAGACGCCAGACGAUAUGGGCAAGAGAGGGAGAUCGACGGCCGCGUUAACUGAGGUGAACCACCUCGGGGAACGCUACAGCAGCUCCAACGGCUCCACGUCUGUCUCGGACGACGGACAGUGCUCCGGCGAAACGGCGGCGGUGUGCGCGCCGUUCCACUAUCACGAAAACUCAGAUUCCUGUGUGUGCCCCAUGUGUAAGCUGACACUUUACAUUUCCCACGUGUACCGCGAUCAGCGUCGCGCCUCCCCACACGUGAUGGCGGCGCGGCCCUCGCCCGAGUACGUGAUGGCCCCGGAUGGGUCACUGCCGCUGCUGACGCCGAUCUACAAACCAGAUGGCGUGUCGGUGUGCCCUGUGUACACCGCUUUUGGCUUCUGUCCCUUUCUCAGCGGCUGCUUCUUGCCGCACGACGAGGGCAGCUGCGCCUCCGCGCGAGUGCCGCGACUGGCGUCGGCGGAGGAGGAGCUGAAGCGACUGACGCAGCGGGCGAGGGAGCUGCAAUGCAGCGAUGUAUGGGCGUGUGAGGUGUGCGGCUACAGCCAUGUCGACGAGUUUUGCGAAGUGGCGCUGGGCACGGAGCACUACUUCCGUCAGUGCCCGCGUUGCACCUUGAUGUGCUUCUUUCCAAACAUCACGUACCUUGUGGAGCACAUCUUGUGCAGCGUUGGUGACGACUACCAGUUGUUCAAGACGGAGGUGGAUCGCUACCGAAGACUGCUGCCGGACUUGUUCAAGAUCCCGCUUACCUUCGAGGCUCACCGUGUGGCAAGCAUCGUUUUCGCAUGGAGUCUCCUCUCACCGGUGCACGCGCGUGACGCGAUGAACAGUGUUGUGCGGGAGUUUCCUAAUGUCGAGUCUAUCAUCAGCGUCGGGAGCGGAGCCGGGUACAUUGAGCACAUCUUCAACCGUGUCAUGCACCAGGUGCCACUGAGAGAGGAGUGGGCGGUGGAUCGAGAGCGCUUUCCCACGACAUCCUUCGACGACGUGCGGUGCGACUUCUACGGCAAGCGCACCAUCCCCAUCUUCGCCUUCGACGCGCUGGCGCUGCAGAGGACAUACAGCGUGCAUGUCUCCAUAGGGGGUCCGAUCUCCCUCUACUCGCUCAACUGCAAGCAGUCGGUGCUGCUGCUCUGCUGGCCACCGUUUGGCUCUCGGGAGCGGGAGGAGAGCUCGAUGGGCUUUGAGGCACUCGAGUACUUUACUCGCGAGGGUGGCUCGAUGCUCAUCUACAUUGGCGACACCGCCGCGACGGGGGACUGGCGCUUUCACAUGCUUCUCAAGUCCCACUACAAGCUUCUACGGGAUUACCCGGUGCGCCGAGAGCUGCGUCGGUGGUGUCCACAGGAGAUGGGCUUCGUGUAUGGCGGCAACGACACCAUCGGUGUCUACCAACUGCGCGAGACGCCGCUGUCUUCGGUGGGAUUCAGCUAGCGACCUUGAAAAGUCGAAGAGGGACAGGCACCGACUGGCAACAUUUCACAUCCUUCAAGAGGGUAAGCGGCAGGUUGAAGACGCGCCGUCAUCUACGCUCUCAAAAAAAAAGGGAAGCCCCUAACACAGACGCGGAUGCGCCCACGCGUUCUUCACCGGGGUUAGUCACAAGAAGCGAAAAUAGCAUGAGCCACUCGCUCUCGCAUAUGUCUGCCUGUCUGUCUGUCUCUCUCUCGCUCUGGGUUUGUGUGUGUUAUACUGGUUCCCUCCUCGCAUUUCCUCUCCUCCACGUCCUCUCGUUUUCCUUUGUGCGCUCUUUUCUCCCUCGACGCUCUCCUCUCCUCGCCUUCAUCCCGCGUUCCUUUUUUUUUGUUCACCUUCCCCUCCCCGUAACGUCCGAUUGCAUACCCAUAAAG